AUUGAACGCUGGCGGCAGGCCUAACACAUGCAAGUCGAGCGGUAGCACAGAGAGCUUGCUCUCGGGUGACGAGCGGCGGACGGGUGAGUAAUGUCUGGGAAACUGCCUGAUGGAGGGGGAUAACUACUGGAAACGGUAGCUAAUACCGCAUAACGUCGCAAGACCAAAGAGGGGGACCUUCGGGCCUCUUGCCAUCAGAUGUGCCCAGAUGGGAUUAGCUAGUAGGUGGGGUAACGGCUCACCUAGGCGACGAUCCCUAGCUGGUCUGUGAGGAUGACCAGCCACGCUUGACCUGAGACACGGGCCAGACUCCUACGGGAGGCAGCAGUGGGGAAUAUUGCACAAUGGGCGCAAGCCUGAUGCAGCCAUGCCGCGUGUAUGAAGAAGGCCUUCGGGUUGUAAAGUACUUUCAGCGGGGAGGAAGGUGUUGAGGUUAAUAACCUCAGCAAUUGACGUUACCCGCAGAAGAAGCACCGGCUAACUCCGUGCCAGCCGCCGCAGUAA
rnacentral:rRNA from 1 species